UACAGAGGGUGCGAGCGUUGUCCGGAAUCACUGGGCGUAAAGGGCGCGUAGGCGGCUUUGUAAGUUAGAGGUGAAAGCCCGGGGCUCAACUCGGAAUUGCCUUUAAGACUGCAUCGCUAGAAUCAUGGAGAGGUUAGUGGAAUUCCGAGUGUAGAGGUGAAAUUCGUAGAUAUUCGGAAGAACACCAGUGGCGAAGGCGACUAACUGGACAUGUAUUGACGCUGAGGUGCGAAAGCGUGGGGAGCAAACAGG
rnacentral:rRNA from 1 species